rnacentral:misc_RNA from 1 species
AAAAAAAAUGCUUGCCCAAACUUAGGCAUCAAAUUAUAAAGACCGACUUUUGCAAAACAACAUUCAUGAUGCUCUCAUCCCAGUCUAUAUGAAGUUGGUGUAUCAUUUGGUAGAUAAAUUGUGAAUUUAAUUCUUCAUUGACACUAGGGUUCGUAUAAGUUGUUAAACAAUCAGGUUGAAAUGAUAAACUUUUAUCAAUCUACUUCGUCACUCAAGCCAUAGAUGCAUCUAGUUCUCAAAUUAGGAUAGGUUAAGAAUUGGUAAAUUAUGGCCAACCUCAUAUAUUUGAGACUUUUCUCAUAUCAGACAUCUCUUCUAUUUGUUCAAACAAGUCCUUGGUUAUGUGCACUGUUUUCUAAAGAAUAUUGCCACAUUACUUUCCUAAAUGGAAGUUCAUCGGUCCACAUAAAAACUUGCUGUAAUGGUUUCCUUAAGAGGAAGCAAUUCCAUUUUAUGCAGAAUAGUGAAGGAUCAAGUUACGGCCUUCUGAGUAUUACUCAGAAAAACACGUUGAUUGCAGGUACCUCUUCAAGUGGCACAACCAUUAGAUUCCAACUUGCUGAAUGGCCUAAAACUUGGUCUUGAAGGUGAGCACCAGUA